GAUGAACGCUAGCGGCAGGCUUAAUACAUGCAAGUCGAGGGGCAGCAUGAGUGUAGCAAUACAUUUGAUGGCGACCGGCAAACGGGUGCGGAACACGUACACAACCUUCCUAUAAGUGGGGAAUAGCCCAGAGAAAUUUGGAUUAAUACCCCGUAACAUAAUGAUGUGGCAUCACAUUAUUAUCAUAGCUUCGGCGCUUAUUGAUGGGUGUGCGGCUGACUAGAUAGUUGGCGGGGUAACGGCCCACCAAGUCUACGAUCAGUAGCUGAUGUGAGAGCAUGAUCAGCCACACGGGCACUGAGACACGGGCCCGACUCCUACGGGAGGCAGCAGUAAGGAAUAUUGGACAAUGGACGCAAGUCUGAUCCAGCCAUGCCGCGUGAAGGAUCAAGGUCCUCUGGAUUGUAAACUUCUUUUAUAAGGGACGAAAAAAGGCUUUUCUAAGUCGUCUGACGGUACCUUAUGAAUAAGCACCGGCUAACUCCGUGCCAGCCGCCGCCGUAAAAC
rnacentral:rRNA from 1 species